CGAGCGCUGCUGAGGUGGCCCUUCGGUUCCAAAAGUGUUCUUCUUUGCCGGCUAAACACGGCGUCUGGGCGGCGAUGGCCUGUCGGGUGGCGUGUUCUUAUCCUCCGACGCGUGCUCCUCGUAUGUCCAGUCUCCGGGCCUCUGAGCCUGGGCAGCCCCCCAGCUUGCAAGCGCUCCGUGGGCGCCCACGCAGGUGGCACCUGCGCUGGAAUUUGACAAGGAAGCCAAGUGAAGACAGUUGAACCCGCAUGGAGAGAGGAGCCUUGGGGUUCCCUCUUCCCUCUGCUUGAUCCCAGUGAGAUGGGGUAAAGUCACACGGCGGCUCUGCCUCCUACCCCGAGGCUCAUCUGACUGUGCGGACACAGAGGCCGGACCCCGAGGCCAUAGCCCUCUCAGCUCACCCCUGCACGGCUUUGAAGCCUUGAUGUGGCCUGGAAAAACAAACCAAAAAAACCAAAACCAAAGGUAUUUCUGAUGCUUGAGUUGAGCGGACGCUAAGAUGUGUCAGCCAGCCCUGAUCUUGGCAAAUACAGUUUCGAAUGGUAUGUCCUUCCCUUUCUAGAGCCACGGCAGUUCAGCGCUAUCAUUCUUCCUCACAGUGAUGGUGUUUAAUUUACGUAAGUUAUAUAUAUAUAUAUUUUUUUUUUUUUUUUUCUGUAAAAAUAACAUUCACUUUUCAGAUUCACUUUGGUGGUCGUUAGAUUUGUCAUCCUGUCUCAGGUCUUGUGAGGGCGAACCUCAUUGAUAAGAAAGUUCCGUUUUCGACAGAGAAGAAGAGCAGACAAGACCAGUGCAGCCCCAGUGGCUACGUUCACAAAAUAGGCUGGAGAGAAUUCACCCCAAAGGAAGGCUGAGCUCAGUGGGGUUUGUGGGCUUGGGUUCCAAAAGCAUCCCUCUUGCUAGAGGUAGCUGGAAGUCUGGGGCAGAGAAACAGCAGGCUGCAGAACAGAAGGCGAGGCAGGACUCCAGGCCUGUAGAUGGAGUCAGAAGAUGAAAUCGGGCAGUUUAGGGUUAGUAAGUGCAAACGAUUGCAUUUAGAAUGGAUAAGCAAUGAGGGCCUGCUGGGACAGCACAGGGAACUAUAUCCAAACACUUGCGAUGGAACGUGAUAGAAGGUGACCUGAAAAAAAGAAUGCAUAUAAAUGUAUAAAUGGGCCACUUCAUUGUACAGCUGAAAUGGACAGAACAUUGUAAAUUACCUCUGAUAAAAAAAUUAAGACCAAAAAAGAUGACGGAAUCAGGAAAAUGGGGCAGGAGCCUGAGUCUCACUGAGUUUUUGGCCCCCAGGACCUCAGGUCUUUGCCCGUAUGUUUUCUGGCCCUCCAUAUACCCAGCUGCUGGGAAUCAGGUGAACAAGAUCAAGGGAAGUCGAAACUGCAUCAGGUUGGGUAAAGCAGUUGGAGCGGCACAAUUCGAGUUUUGAAGGAGGUCAAGCAUCAUUUUUCUGUUUGUGUCUGUAACUGAAAACAGUAGCAUCCAUUUGGCCAAGAGUCUUCAUGCAGCCUUCGGAGGGCCUGAAUAUUCUCAGUGAGAUUGUUAUGCCACAGGUUUCAGAGCGAUGCUGGCGCACAGGGCACUAUGCUCCACCCUCUUCAAUUUGCCUCCCGAUAAUAAAUAAUGUAAACAAUGCUAAAAUUCAGUGAAAGCCCAUGUCACAGGGAAACAAACCCCUAAACAUUAAAAUGACAGAAGAGUCCCCAAACAGAGUGGGAAGUCCUGGAGUGGUGGCCUCACCCUAGUAAAACUGAAUCAUCAGUACAAGCAGGUUCUAAUAAACCAUUCAGGGUGAUAAAGGGGCGCUGUUAUGUUCCAAAGCCCAGAAGGCUCUGCUGUAGCCAGAACCACAAAGUGAAGAGGUUAAAAGACUUUAAAUGGGAUUGCCAUGGCUUUCUUCAGCAAAAGACAGGGCAACAGGCAGAUAAUAUGCCUUUAUUAAUGUACAGAUGAGAACACGAAUACAAAUGAAAAGUGUCUGGGAUGCUAGACAAUCUGGUUUGCCUCAUUCAAAAAUUUAGGGGAACAAGAGCCAGAAAGAAGACAAAUUUUACAGACACAAUCCCAAUAAGUCUUUUUGGAUAAUGAAUCAACACCUUCUGUUGAAUAAAAGCUUCCAAAGGAAAAGUAAUUGAUCCAGUCAUGUUCAUUAAAAGUAAUUGAUCCAGUCAGUACCCCCCAUGUGUCAAGCACUGUGCUAGGUCCCAGUACCCUUCAAAAAGACACAAUAUGCUUAUUUACAGUGUCGUCUCUGACACAUCAGGCCUAGAAAUGGGCAAGCACUUAUCCUCUUUCAUGUUGUUCGUAUAAAACCUAUGCAAAACUUUAAAAGAAAAGGCUAUUCUUUUAAAAAGUUUUGCAUUCAUUAUUUUGACAUUCCUCUCAUUUUUGUCUAUAGCAGUCUGACCACUUCUGACCCUUGGCCCUGGGAGGUUAAAUAAAAAGGAAUGGAAUGCUGCUGGUGCAGCCCUAAAAAAAUAAAAAACAAAAAAACCCCAAAAACAGAGAGCAUGGAGUUGAAGAGGCAGUGAGUUUCAUAAAUCUGAGAUAUUAUCCUUCUGCAACAUAAUGUGUUAUGUGAGAGACUAAGAGCCCUUAGAUAAACACUAACAUUAAUUGUUAUAAAUAUUACCUGCUGUUAUGACAUGGAAUUUAUGACCACAUUUGGCAAUUUAAAAAAGGAUAUGAAAUAUUUUGUAUCAUUUUGAUACAAUUUCCUGGCCCUAGACCUCUGGCACUGUACUAAAAAGUCAUGCUUUCAAUUUCAUCACAAAGUCGUCACACAUUAAAGUCUAAUGAGAAAGGACCUUUCAUUUCCGUGGUGUCCUGCCCUAUUGUUUUUAAAAUGGGUUUCAGGAAUGAAGAUGCAAACGUGAAUGGAAAAAAGAUUAAUUGUGGCAUUCUUCUCUUCUUCCUGUGCUUUCUCACAUGAUAUAAAGAUAAAUGUGGCUGUUUAUUUAGUUUUAAAUUUGAGCAUGUUUUAAUAGUUGAAGAAAAUACUGAAUCAUAAUGACAAACUUUCCUGGGAUGACUCAUAAUAUUUUCAACCUUCUUUUGUGGCAAAAUUUGAUGCAAUCUACAGUUUUCCCCAAAGGGGUUCUUUCAUUUAUUUUCUUGGGGGCAUCCUAAUGGGUUUUGCAAUAGAUCAGAUGUGCUAAUACCCUGCUCUUUUGAUGAGACUGUGAUUAACUCUGUAACAGUGUGUGUGUGUGUGUGUGUGUGUGUGUGUGUGUGUGUGUGUGUGUGUGUGGUUGAGGGGUAGGUUCACCAGAUUAUUAUUGGUUUUUUUUUUUUGUCUUUUUAGGGCCACACCCAUGGCAUAGGGCAGUUCCCAGGCUAGGGAUGGAAUCAGAGCUGCAGCUGCCAACCUAUGCCAGAGCCACACCAAUAUGGAAUCUGAACCACCUCUGCGACCUACCCCACAGCUCGUGGCAAUGAUGGAUCUUUAACCCACUGAGCGAGGCCAGGGAUUGAACCACAUCCUCAUGGAUAUUAGUCAGGUUCUUAACCUGCUGAGCCACAGCAGGAACUCCCAGAUUAUUGUUGAUUCUUAAUCUUGCUUCAGAACUGGCGUCACUUUAAAGUGGUUACCAUGUAGAAUGAGGAGAUGGUCAGAGGGUCUCUUCCAAAGUGUGCAAGGAUAAAUCCUUAGGGAGAAAAAUAUUUCCAUUAGUUUAACCAUAAGUCACUAGCGUUGCGGGUUUGGCUGACCAUCGAACCAAUAGGGUACCUGUGCACAUAGAUCUGAUUUUGGAUGGUUUUUUGGCAUGGAUGUUGUUCACACGACAGGUAACUAGUUUCAUAAGGUAGCUUAAAGUUGACAGCCUUUGUCCAAUUGCAGUGGUCAAUGAUGUAAUUCUUUGUGUCUAUGUAAAUGGACUUUCAAAUUAAAUUUUUUUAAUUUUGUAGGUUUAUUUUAUUUAUUUAUUUAUUUUUUGUCUUUUUAGGGCUGCACCGGGGGCAUAUGGAGGUUCCCAGGCUAGGGGUCGAAUUGGAGCUGUUGCCGCCGGCCUAUGUCACAGCCACAGCAACGCCAGAUCCGAGCCGCAUCUGCGAUCCACACCGCAGGUCACAGCAACGCGGGAUCCUUAACCCACUGAGCGAAGCCAGGGAUUGAACCUGAAACCCCAUGGUUCCUAGUCAGAUGCGUUAACCACUGAGCCAGGAUGGGAACUCUUAAUUUUGUAGGUUUAAAUUAAAGCUAUCAGCCCUUGGUAUAAACCUUUCCACGUUCCUAGGAUGAUAUGGAAAGAUCAAAAUUGACUAUAACCAACCAACCAAACAAACAAACAGAAAGUGAUAAACAAACCACACUUGUGGUAAUUCUAUCACUAGCAUCUGGAAGGCUGCUUUAGUCACUGUAAAGAUGAAGCACCAUGGCCCCAUGUGAAUAAAAAGACUUCCCUUCAAGGGGGGAUGCACUUUCUUCCCAGUGUUUCCUUCCUUGUCCACGAGAUAACUGCCCUGUUUGAUCAUUGCUCGCUGGGGUAGCAUAUUGGCCACCUGUCUUGUAUUUCCACUCGUUGGAAAUGCCAAGAUCCAGAAAACAACUGGGCAGACAGUAUCGUCAGGGUGGGAGAGUUGGUAGAAAUAUGUCACACUCUGAGUAGUAUAGUUUCCACAAGAAAAUAUUGGGUGGGUGCGGAUGGCAUUUGUACUGGCAAUGACAGCUUUCAUCCAUCCAAGGUGAAAAGAACCAGGUAAGGGAUGUGGUGUUUAGGGUGAGUCCAGUAGACAAAGUCCUACCAGAAACUGGUAAUUGGGCCUUUUUUGAUUCAAGAGAAGCCUUCGGAGUUCCCAUUAUGGCUCAGCCAUUAAUGAACCCGACUAGCAUCCAUGAGGACAUGGGUUCGAUCCCUGGCCUCGCUUGAUGGAUUAAGGAUCUGGCAUUGCCGUGAGCUGUGGUGCAGAUUACAGAUGCACCACAGAUCCUGUGUUGCUGUGGCUGUGGUGUAGGCUGGCAGCUACAGCCUCGAUUAGACCCCUAGCCUGGGAACCUCCCUAUGCUGCAGGUGCGACCCUAAAAAGAUUAAAAAAAAAAAAGAAAAA
rnacentral:lncRNA from 1 species